rnacentral:rRNA from 1 species
UCGUGUCGUGAGAUGUGGUAAGUCCGCAACGAGCGCAACCCCUAUUGUUAGUUGCCAUCAUUCAGUUGGGCACUCUAGCGAGACUGCCGGUAAUAAACCGGAGGAAGGUGGGGAUGACGUCAAAUCAUCAUGCCCCUUAUGACCUGGGCUACACACGUGCUACAAUGGUUGGUACAACGAGUUGCGAGUCGGUGACGGCGAGCUAAUCUCUUAAAGCCAAUCUCAGUUCGGAUUGUAGGCUGCAACUCGCCUACAUGAAGUCGGAAUCGCUAGUAAUCGCGGAUCAGCACGCCGCGGUGAAUACGUUCCCGGGCCUU